CCUACGGGAGGCUGCAGUGAGGAAUAUUGGUCAAUGGCCGAGAGGCUGAACCAGCCAAGUCGCGUGAAGGAUGAAGGAUCUACGGGUUGUAAACCUCUUUUAUCGGGGAGUAAAGUGAGUCACGUGUGCCUUUUUGAGUGUACCAGAAGAAUAAGCAUCGGCUAACUCCGUGCCAGCAGCCGCGGUAAUACGGAGGAUGCGAGCGUUAUCCGGAUUUAUUGGGUUUAAAGGGUGCGUAGGCGGAUCGUUAAGUCAGUGGUUAAAUUUUGGGGCUCAACCCCUUCCCGCCAUUGAAACUGGCUGUCUUGAGUGUAAGAGAAGUAGGCGGAAUGCGUGGUGUAGCGGUGAAAUGCAUAGAUAUCACGCAGAACCCCGAUUGCGAAGGCAGCAUGCCGGCUUCCGACUGACGCUGAAGCACGAAAGCGUGGGGAUCAAACAGGAUUAGAUACCCGAGUAGUC
rnacentral:rRNA from 1 species